ensembl:processed_transcript A230072C01Rik RIKEN cDNA A230072C01 gene
AGUCUCGCUGCAGUACGUCACUGAUAAAGCCACUCAACGUUGGGGAUGACUUCUUUCGGCUCGAGCUACGGAGUUGCUUCUGCCCAACCCGAUUUUGGAACUCGUUCACUCACCGGUACAGGAGUACGGCGUUUACCGUAGGGCCACCGGCAAUAACUGCCAGAAGUAGUUGUGGGAUUCCCUGGAACUGGAGCAACCAACAGUUUGUGUGCACCAUGUGGGUAAUGGGAAUCGAACCUGGGUCCUCUAUAAGACUGGCCAGUGCUCUUAACUACUGAGGUGCAUUUCUUUCGGAAUUGAUUCACAUAACUAUUAUGCUAUACUGUUUGAAGUAUUUAUUAGAAAAACAUCAGAAAGAGAUUUGGACCACUUUCAUUUACAUGAAGAAAUAUCUUAGGGUUUCUUUUCAGGUAUCUUUGAGUAUCUUCUGACACUAGAAGAUCCUGUAAACUCUACAGACUUCAACAGAAUUGAAGAACCUGGACAGAGCAGAGUUACCAACAAGAGAGCCCAGGGAUAACAUUAACAUGGUGGUUACUCAAGACCUAACUCAGCCAGGGAGACAUACCAAGGCCUAUGAGGUGAAGGGAAAAGAAGGGUGACCCAAAGGGCAGGAAUUUUUUAUCCUGAACUUUUGAGCCUUAUAGAAAAACAUAAUUUGUUGGGCAUGUUUUCUGACCCUCAUACAGUUUUUACAACCAUUUGAAGAUAUAGUUCUAGCUCUAGUAGGCUCUACAGGAAGGUAUAUCAAAAUUUUUAACAGAACACUUUAUUAUUUUAAAUAUAUGAGUAUUUCACCUGCAUAGGCGCACAGUGCCCACAGAGACUAGAAGAGGGUGGCAGGUCUCCUGAGACUGGAGUUAAUGCUUGUGAGCUGCCAUGUGGAUGCUGGAAAUCAAACCCAGGUCCUUUGGAAGGCAGGCAGGUGCUCUUAAUCAUGGAAGCAUCUCAGCUCCUACCCUAGUUCUUUAAUUUUGUUUUAAAUUUUUGAGGUAGGGUUUUGCUAAGUUACUUGGGCUGGCCUUGGACUAGUAACCAUUCUGUGUCAGCCUUCUGGGAUUAGAGAUACGUGCUAGCAUGUCUAGCAUCUUUCUAUUUCUUUGGUUUUCCUUCUAAUUAAUUAAAAAAUACAUUAUCUUCU